GGCGUCAGAUUUUAAAAAAUAGCCAAUUGGCACUAUAUAGAGCUCAAUGGCUCUACGCUAAGCCGAUAAGCUCUAUAUAGAGUCGAUUUGUCUGUAUGCCGAGCCGAUUGCCUUCAAGGGUAAAAAGUUUUAAAAUUUUAAUAAUUUAGUCCCUAAACUUGUAAAAACUAUCGUUUCACCCUUUAAACUUAAUUUUUCUACCAAUUGGGUUCAGGUUGGUUCUAGAAAAGUAAUUUUAGUUAAAUUAUUCUCCAUCCUAACUUAGAUUCACUCGUCCUCGAUCUCCCUAGACUCAAGAAAGACAACAACUUUCAUCAUUGGAUUUUCUAUAAUUCUUGCGAUAUUUUGAUCUAGAAAAGAGGUGCUCAGAGCUGCCCUAGGUUUGUCAAAAUUUAUAAGCACCCACGUGAUUAAAUAAAUUGAGACAAAUUAUAAUAUCAAGGAUAUGGUAAAAGGAUAUAUUGAUGAGCUAUGGAAGCCAUGCCCCGUAAGCUUAAACUGAUGUAUAAAUUUUGAUUCGAUGUGGGGACCACAUCCACUUGAGUUUUGAGUCCUAAGCUUGCUUUAAUUCUCAAGGACUUCGCUUACUUAAAUUUUUGAGGACUUCGCCUACUUUAAUUUGAAAACUUCGCCUGCUUAAAGUUUUGACAACUUUGCCUGCUUUAAUUUUGAGAACUUUUCCUGCUCAGAGUUUUAAGAACUUCGCCUACUUCAAUUUUGAAUUUCUACUUGACUUACCCUCUUUCGGGUAGUAAAUUUGAAUUUUUAAUUGAAAAUUCCUACUUUGGGAUGCAACUCACUUGACAAAUGUCUUUUGGAGAUUACAUUGAUAAUUAGCCCAUCCGGGGACUAAAGCAUAGUUUUGGAAGGUCAGGGAUCAAAAUGACAUUUUCACCUUCUUUAGGAUAUAUAUAUCCAUCUCUCAUAUCUACUUCUUAUCUUCUCCUUAUUUUAUCUCAAAACCCCUCUCUACACUUUUUUCGAUUUCUCACACAUUUCUCAUCCAAAAUUUGUAUGGUACACUUAAGUGGUUCAACGAGCUAUCUAGUUUUGUGCAAGCUAGGAUUGGUGAAAUCGCGUUUCGCUUGUUUGUUGACCUUUCUUUGAUUGCUAGGUUGUUAAAAGUCUGAUCAAUUUUUAACUUUUUACUCUUUAUCUUUUUUUUUUUAUUCAUUUAUAUUUUUUUUCUUAUUAUUCCUGGUUAUAUGCAGU
rnacentral:lncRNA from 1 species